CAGGGCGUGACAUAAUGACAGGCAGGAAUCAGCAGCUUGUAUUGUAUAUGUAGUACAUGCUGCACUAGACUCAGGUCAGGGCGUGACAUAAUGACAGGCAGGAAUCAGCAGCUUGUAUUGUAUAUGUAGUACAUGCUGCACUAGACUCAGGUCAGGGCGUGACAUAAUGACAGGCAGGAAUCAGCAGCUUGUAUUGUAUAUGUAGUACAUGCUGCACUAGACUCAGGUCAGGGCGUGACAUAAUGACAGGCAGGAAUCAGCAGCUUGUAUUGUAUAUGUAGUACAUGCUGCACUAGACUCAGGUCAGGGCGUGACAUAAUGACAGGCAGGAAUCAGCAGCUUGUAUUGUAUAUGUAGUACAUGCUGCACUAGACUCAGGUCAGGGCGUGACAUAAUGACAGGCAGGAAUCAGCAGCUUGUAUUGUAUAUGUAGUACAUGCUGCACUAGACUCAGGUCAGGGCGUGACAUAAUGACAGGCAGGAAUCAGCAGCUUGUAUUGUAUAUGUAGUACAUGCUGCACUAGACUCAGGUCAGGGCGUGACAUAAUGACAGGCAGGAAUCAGCAGCUUGUAUUGUAUAUGUAGUACAUGCUGCACUAGACUCAGGUCAGGGCGUGACAUAAUGACAGGCAGGAAUCAGCAGCUUGUAUUGUAUAUGUAGUACAUGCUGCACUAGACUCAGGUCAGGGCGUGACAUAAUGACAGGCAGGAAUCAGCAGCUUGUAUUGUAUAUGUAGUACAUGCUGCACUAGACUCAGGUCAGGGCGUGACAUAAUGACAGGCAGGAAUCAGCAGCUUGUAUUGUAUAUGUAGUACAUGCUGCACUAGACUCAGGUCAGGGCGUGACAUAAUGACAGGCAGGAAUCAGCAGCUUGUAUUGUAUAUGUAGUACAUGCUGCACUAGACUCAGGUCAGGGCGUGACAUAAUGACAGGCAGGAAUCAGCAGCUUGUAUUGUAUAUGUAGUACAUGCUGCACUAGACUCAGGUCAGGGCGUGACAUAAUGACAGGCAGGAAUCAGCAGCUUGUAUUGUAUAUGUAGUACAUGCUGCACUAGACUCAGGUCAGGGCGUGACAUAAUGACAGGCAGGAAUCAGCAGCUUGUAUUGUAUAUGUAGUACAUGCUGCACUAGACUCAGGUCAGGGCGUGACAUAAUGACAGGCAGGAAUCAGCAGCUUGUAUUGUAUAUGUAGUACAUGCUGCACUAGACUCAGGUCAGGGCGUGACAUAAUGACAGGCAGGAAUCAGCAGCUUGUAUUGUAUAUGUAGUACAUGCUGCACUAGACUCAGGUCAGGGCGUGACAUAAUGACAGGCAGGAAUCAGCAGCUUGUAUUGUAUAUGUAGUAC